rnacentral:lncRNA from 1 species
AAUUUUGAGAGGAUUUAGAACAUUCUAGUAUUUGGAACACACUGUCUUUAAUCUUUAUCGAAAAUGAAAUGUUAUCCACCUGUAUCUUGCAAAUCCAGAGCUGGAGUGAACCCCCACCAGGUGAUUGUACCAAACUGAUCAGUCAUUGUCUUAUAAUGUUAUGGAAUGGCAUGAAAUCAUCGUCUUUUUCUAUGACAUGUUAAAUCUUGCCGCCUCGGUGUCCUCC